rnacentral:lncRNA from 1 species
UGUCCCAAUGGUGUCCCCAUGGUGUCCCAAUGGAUGUCCCCAUGGUGUCCCGUGGUGUCCCCAUUGUGUCCCCAUUGUAUCCCCAUGAUGUCCCCACGCCACCUCAUGAUGUCCCCCCCCCGUUUCCCCCCCCCAGGCGCUCAGCUGGAGCAGCUGAUGGAGAGAAUGCGUGCGGAGGUGGCCGCCCACCCCCCCGUGGAGGGCGCCUAUGUGCCCCGCAGGGGGGAUUUCUGCAUCGCCAAGUUCGUCGAUGG